rfam:Felis catus isolate Cinnamon breed Abyssinian chromosome D3, whole genome shotgun sequence.
GCCUGGGUGGCUCAGUCGGUGAAGCGCCCGACUUCAGCUCAGGUCAUGAUCUCUCAGUUCGUGGGUUCGAGCCCCGCGUCGGGCU